GUGGUGUUUGGUUUGAUACGGGUGGUCGGCUCCCUGCUUGAGCAGGCACGGCCUCGCGUACAUUCCUUUUCAGUUGUGCGACAARGCUUGUAUCGCCUUGAUCGUAUAUGUGGGUUUCCUGUGUUGCAUACCUGAUCAAAGGAAUCGUCUAGAUCAAAAAAGUCCCUUUUUCGUCAAGCGUUGCYCUUGUGACGUCGGACGAACCAAAUAGCACCUUCUUUGAUCCAUCCCGUUGAUGUGCAUUCGUCGAUGGUUUGGCCCAUUGAGGGUUGCUUGGUSUCUCGGAUGUGGAAGCAAAAGUUGGCGUGGGGUCGUAUGAUCCUUUUAUUGCCCUCGUUGAGCGUUCUCGCUUCUCUAAAACGACUGCCUUUCACGUAUGGCACGUCCCAGCGUGUUUGGCUAACGUCRAAGAGGAAUGC
rnacentral:misc_RNA from 1 species